rnacentral:rRNA from 1 species
UACGUAGGUGGCGAGCGUUGUCCGGAAUUACUGGGUGUAAAGGGUGCGCAGGCGGGAGAACAAGUUGGGUGUGAAAUACCCGGGCCCAACUCGGGGGCGGCAUUCAAAACUGUUCUUCUUGAGAGAGGCAGAGGCAGGCGGAAUUCCCGGUGUAGCGGUGAAAUGCGUAGAGAUCGGGAGGAACACCAGUGGCGAAGGCGGCCUGCUGGGCCUCGACUGACGCUGAGGCACGAAAGCAUGGGUAG